rnacentral:rRNA from 1 species
UACGGGGGGGAGCAAGCGUUGUUCGGAUUUACUGGGCGUAAAGGGCGCGUAGGCGGCGUGACAAGUCACUUGUGAAAUCUCCGGGCUUAACUCGGAACGGUCAAGUGAUACUGUCGGACUAGAGUACAGAAGGGGCAACUGGAAUUCUCGGUGUAGCGGUGAAAAUUCGUAGAUAUUCGGAAGAACACCAGUGGCGAAGGCGACACACUGGCCCAUUACUGACGCUGAGGCUCGAAAAGCGUGGGGAGCAAACAGGG